AAGGAAUAUUGGACAAUGGGCGCAAGCCUGAUCCAGCCAUGCCGCGUGAAGGAUUAAGGUCCUCUGGAUUGUAAACUUCUUUUAUAAGGGACGAAAAAAGGGAAUUCUUUCUCACUUGACGGUACCUUAUGAAUAAGCACCGGCUAACUCCGUGCCAGCAGCCGCGGUAAUACGGAGGGUGCAAGCGUUAUCCGGAUUCACUGGGUUUAAAGGGUGCGUAGGCGGGUAUUUAAGUCAGUGGUGAAAUCCUAGAGCUUAACUCUAGAACUGCCAUUGAUACUAUUUAUCUUGAAUAUUGUGGAGGUAAGCGGAAUAUGUCAUGUAGCGGUGAAAUGCUUAGAUAUGACAUAGAACACCUAUUGCGAAGGCAGCUUACUACGCAUAUAUUGACGCUGAGGCACGAAAGCGUGGGGAUCAAAC
rnacentral:rRNA from 1 species